GGGUUUUGAUUAAAUGCAUGAGGAAAAAGCACAGACAAUCGUUCGAAGUUGAACUGCGUAGAGUGCCUUCCGACAGUGGUGAUAUCUUACGGUGCACUGGUAAAUCUGUGAUCUUAUUCUCCGAUUCUUCUAACACACACUUAUCUGCACCAGCCUGAAAACUCAAUCAUCCGACUUUCGGUUUUUCCAGCGAGUGCUAUGGCGUUCAAAUUAGCACUUUGGGCCUUCGUAUGCGCGGCCAUUCUCGGACUGGUGUUGUCGGCGCCUGGAGGGGAGACCGGUUCCUGGUGUUACAAGCCCUCGAGGGAAGCAUACUGGGGACACGCUUCCGGAACCUGUUGUCCAGGAAACAUGGGCAGCGAUAGGAGAUGUUACGGCCUCCGCGGGGACAGCGGGAAGUGCACGAAAUUCUACAACUGUUGCAUCCACCAGUUCGGCAGUGGCAACAAGGAGAGUGAUCCCUGCAACUGAGAACUCCCGUCAAAAUGCGAACCCGCAGAGCUCCGAACUCGGAACUCAACUCAAAAUUCGGAACUCAUCUCAGAACUCGGAACUCAACUCAGAACUCGGAACUCAACUCAGCACUCGGAACUCAACUCAGAACUCGGAACUCAACUCAGAACUCGGAACUCAACUCAGAACUCGGAACUCAACUCAGAACUCCCAUGCGCAUGUUGCCGUAUCUGUUGAGAGUUGCCUUGCCGGUUCUCCUUGGCAACAAGCGAAUUCGACGAGCUCCUGCAAGUUUGUUGAAAUGUAAAGUGACAGUCUCAUUCCUUGUUCGGACUGACAGCAACACUUGAAAAA